rnacentral:rRNA from 1 species
AAAACUUACUACCGAAGCUACGGCAUCAUUAUGAUGGGUAGGGGAGCUUUCUAUACGGGUUGAAGCAUGACCGUAAGGACAUGUGGACUGUAUAGAAGUGAGAAUGUUGGCAUGAGUAGCGAGAUGUGGGUGAGAAUCCCACAGGCCGUAAACCCAAGGUUUCCAGGGGAAGGUUCGUCCGCCCUGGGUUAGUCAGGACCUAAGCCGAGGCCGAAAGGCGUAGGUGAUGGACAACAGGUUGAUAUUCCUGUACCACCAAUAACCGUUUGAGAAAUGGGAUGACACAGUAGGAUAAGCUAACCGCACUGUUGGUUAUGUGCGGGCAAGUAUUGAGGCAGUUCCGAUAGGCAAAUCCGUCGGAAUAAUGCUGGGGUACGAUGCGGAGCGAAAUUAAGUAGCGAAGUAGCUGAUUUCACACUGUCGAGAAAAGUCUCUAUCGAGGUUAAAGGUGCCCGUACCGCAAACCGACACAGGUGGGUGAGGAGAGUAUCCUAAGGCCAGCGAGAGAAGUGUUGUUAAGGAACUCGGCAAAAUGACCCCGUAACUUAGGGAGAAGGGGUGCCUUCGAAAGAAGGCCGCAGAGAAUAGGCCCAAGCGACUGUUUACCAAAAACAUAGGUUUCUGCUAAGUCGCAAGACGAUGUAUAGGAGCUGACGCCUGCCCGGUGCUGGAAGGUUAAGGGGAUCUGUUAGAGCAAUCGAAGCUUUGAACUUAAGCCCCAGUAAACGGCGGCCGUAACUAUAACGGUCCUAAGGUAGCGAAAUUCCUUGUCGGGUAAGUUCCGACCCGCACGAAAGGCGUAACGAUUUGGGCACUGUCUCAACAACAGACUCGGUGAAAUUGUAAUACCGGUGAAGAUGCCGGUUACCUGCGACAGGACGGAAAGACCCCAUGGAGCUUUACUGUAGCUUGACAUUGAGUCUCGGUGCUACAUGUACAGGAUAGGUGGGAGACUAUGAAGCAUGGACGUCAGUCUGUGUGGAGUCAUCCUUGGGAUACCACCCUUGUAGUACUGGGAUUCUAACCAGAGGCCAUGAAUCUGGUCUU